GACGAACGCUGGCGGCGUGCUUAACACAUGCAAGUCGAACGGAAAGGCCCUGCUUUUGUGGGGUGCUCGAGUGGCGAACGGGUGAGUAACACGUGAGUAACCUGCCCUUGACUUUGGGAUAACUUCAGGAAACUGGGGCUAAUACCGGAUAGGAGCUCCUGCUGCAUGGUGGGGGUUGGAAAGUUUCGGCGGUUGGGGAUGGACUCGCGGCUUAUCAGCUUGUUGGUGGGGUAGUGGCUUACCAAGGCUUUGACGGGUAGCCGGCCUGAGAGGGUGACCGGCCACAUUGGGACUGAGAUACGGCCCAGACUCCUACGGGAGGCAGCAGUGGGGAAUAUUGCACAAUGGGCGGAAGCCCGAUGCAGCAACGCCGCGUGCGGGAUGACGGCCUUCGGGUUGUAAACCGCUUUCGCCUGUGACGAAGUGUGAGUGACGGUAAUGGGUAAAGAAGCACCGGCUAACUACGUG
rnacentral:rRNA from 1 species